rnacentral:rRNA from 1 species
AGACCCGAAACCCGGUGAUCUAGCCAUGGGCAGGUUGAAGGUUGGGUAACACUAACUGGAGGACCGAACCGACUAAUGUUGAAAAAUUAGCGGAUGACCUGUGGCUGGGGGUGAAAGGCCAAUCAAACCGGGAGAUAGCUGGUUCUCCCCGAAAGCUAUUUAGGUAGCGCCUCGUGAAUUCAUCUCCGGGGGUAGAGCACUGUUUCGGCUAGGGGGCCAUCCCGGCUUACCAACCCGAUGCAAACUGCGAAUACCGGAGAAUGUUAUCACGGGAGACACACGGCGGGUGCUAACGUCCGUCGUGAAGAGGGAAACAACCCAGACCGCCAGCUAAGGUCCCAAAGUCAUGGUUAAGUGGGAAACGAUGUGGGAAGGCCCAGACAGCCAGGAUGUUGGCUUAGAAGCAGCCAUCAUUUAAAGAAAGCGUAAUAGCUCACUGGUCGAGUCGGCCUGCGCGGAAGAUGUAACGGGGCUAAACCAUGCACCGAAGCUGCGGCAGCGACACUCAGGUGUUGUUGGGUAGGGGAGCGUUCUGUAAGCCUGUGAAGGUGGCCUGUGAGGGUUGCUGGAGGUAUCAGAAGUGCGAAUGCUGACAUAAGUAACGAUAAAGCGGG